GGGUAGAUGGCGGAACGGUAGACGCAACACACUCAAAAUGUGUCGGUUUUAACCAUGAGGGUUCAAGUCCCUUUCUACUCA
rnacentral:tRNA from 1 species